GCCGAUGGUACUGCAGGGGGGACCCUGUGGGAGAGUAGGACACCGCCGGAC
rnacentral:rRNA from 1 species